CGAGUUUCCCAGGUGAUCGCGCGUCAUUCGCCGACGUCUCCGCGCAAGCGGCGGCCGAGGCCGUGACGUGAGGAAAGUCCGAACUCCACAGGGCAAGGCGCUGGGUAACCCCCAGGGGGCGUGAGCCCACGGAAAGUGCAACAGAGAGCAGACCGCCAACGGGCGGCGCGCCGCGAGGUGCCGCCGCUGCGGGCAAGGGUGAAACGGUGAGGUAAGAGCUCACCAGCAGUGGUGGCGACAUCACUGGCUCGGUAAACCCCGCCUGGAGCAAGACCGAAUAGAGGGGGAGGAGUGUGACCCGCUCCGUCAACACCCCAGGGUCGGUCGCAUCGAGGUGGUGAGAGAUCACCAUCCCAGUCAAAUGAUCACCACGGAGUGAUCCGUACAGAAUUCGGCUUACGGGAGACUCGGUAU
rnacentral:RNase_P_RNA from 1 species